rnacentral:rRNA from 1 species
AAGGUACUCUGGGGAUAACAGGCUGAUACCGCCCAAGAGUUCAUAUCGACGGCGGUGUUUGGCACCCCGAUGUCGGCUCAUCACAUCCUGGGGCUGAAGUUGGUCCCAAGGGUUUGGCUGUUCGCCAAUUAAAGUGGUACGCGAGCUGGGUUCAAAUCGUCGUGAGACAGUUUGGUCCCUAUCUACCGCGGGCGUAGGAUGAUUGAGGGGGAUUGCACCUAGUACGAGAGGACCGGAGUGAACGAGCCUCUGGUUUACGGGUUGUCAUGCCAAUGGCACGGCCCGGCAGCCAAGCUCGGAACUGAUAACCGCUGAAAGCAUCUAAGCGGGAAGCAGGCCCCAAGAUGAGUCAUCCCUGGCAAAAGCCAGUAAGGAACGUUGCAGACUACGACGUAGAUAGGCCGGAUGUGUAAGCGCAGUGAUGCGUUGAGCUAGCCGGUACUAAUGAUCCGAGAGUCUUGACCAU